rnacentral:rRNA from 1 species
CCUACGGGAGGCAGCAGUGAGGAAUAUUGGUCAAUGGGCGGAAGCCUGAACCAGCCAAGUAGCGUGCAGGAUGACGGUCCUACGGGUUGUAAACUGCUUUUAUACGGGACUAACGCGCCUUACGUGUAGGGCUUUGCAUGUACCGUAUGAAUAAGGACCGGCUAAUUCCGUGCCAGCAGCCGCGGUAAUACGGAAGGUCCGGGCGUUAUCCGGAUUUAUUGGGUUUAAAGGGAGCGUAGGCCGCAUGUCAAGCGUGCUGUGAAAUGUCCGGGCGCAACCCGGGCCUUGCAGCGCGAACUGGCGUGCUUGAGUCCGCGGAAAGCAGGCGGAAUUCGUCGUGUAGCGGUGAAAUGCUUAGAUAUGACGAAGAACCCCGAUGGCGAAGGCAGCUUGCUGCAGCGGAACUGACGCUGAUGCUCGAAAGCGCGGGGAUCGAACAGGAUUAGAUACCCGGGUAGUC